UACAGCCUGGUAUAUCUGCAAUGUA
rnacentral:piRNA from 1 species